UUCACACGCGUUUGCUUCUGCUCUCCCACCGUUCCCUCUGCCAAUCCUUUUCUUCCACUCAUCGUUUUCUUCCGCUGAAUAUCACCGCUGCUUUUAAUCAUCUCCUUAUGUCUCUCUCUAACCCUCGACUCGUCGAGGUCGAUUUCGAAUCUACCUCUCACCGCUUACUCUUCCCAAUUUUAUGCAUACAUCAUUGUUUGCCUCUCUAUAUCAGAAGAGAUCGACUUAGGGUUUAAUUUUGGACUUGAAGAAAGGUAUGGUUAAUUUACAUAUGGUUUCGAUUUUAUUUUUCAUUUCAUUUGGAUUUAUUUCUUCCCAUUGGAAGUGAUGUCAAGUUCCUAGAGCUUACUAUUAACUAGCUAGCUGAAGCUUUGCAUAAUUUACAUGUUUAUCCUUUUCUGUUGUUGUUGUUUUUCUGAACCCGAAGGAUGAGGUUGUUUGAAGACUCUCAAAGAGAAGUCAUAUAUUAUCAUAUUGGUAUAAAAAGUAACUACUUUUGUUGGUUUUUUUCUGUCAAUUGAUUCUGCUUUUGUUUCUUCACCAAAUUUGAUUAUCGGGUUGUUUUGUUGUUUAUCGAAUUUACAGACUUCCAUUAUUUAAGCACACAUGUCAGUUUAUAUAGUCACCCUAAUUAUGUUUUUCCCUUAAUUUGGUGCCUUUAUUUAUGUCAAUCCUGUUUACAAAUUUUUGCAGUUGUCUUGUUGGGGACAUUUGGUGCACAUGGGUAAAUGACACCUAGGUUCUGCGAAGAAGUGAAAAAAACCAACAAGGCAAACAAUCAGGCCAGCAACCCUUUUUUUGUCUUGAUUUUCAGAUUUGAAAUAAACUUUCAUGAUGCACGCCAAAUGCUCGAUAAAAUGCUUCAUUAAUGUUUUUUUUUCAAACUAUUAUUAAGGUUGUUGAGUUGAAGACUCGUUUGAAGAUUGCGUCAUUGGGCUCGGCUGAUAGUCCACUUAUUUUGUACUCCGGUAUUGGGCCUGUCCAACCGUGAGUUUGCUAGGUUUAUUAUAUAAAGAUAUGCUUGCAUGCAUAUUAGGUUAAGAAUUCAGAAGUAACGAUUACGAUAGUAUUGCAGAUUGAUUUUAUCGUUCUUGUAAACCUCCAACCCUCAACAGUUGAUGUUCUUGAUCGAGCUCUUCUGAGGGUUUUGUUUAUAAUCAUUCGACUCGUUUGAUUCAUCGUUGAGUUGUUCUUUAUUUUGCAUUCGUUCUAACUGUUUAAAUAUUUAUUCACCUGUUUAAGAUCUAAUCGAUAUUCAAGAUUAAGUUUUAAUCUCAUCAAAGGUAAGCUUAAUUUUGGGCUCACUAUCUGUUUAAUGAGUACUUUUUUGCUAUUUUUAUGAUCAUGAUGUUCAUGUUGAUCUAUGUGACAAAUGAGGCUAAAUAUUUGAUGAUCAGGUUAGUUCCCCCAUGGAAUUUGGUCCAGAGUAGUUAACAUGCCUCCUUCACCAUGCUUCUCUAAAUUAAAGAAUUUUUCAAUCAUAUCUAACUUCCAAUAAGCCUUUUGUUUACUUCAAUUUGUUGAACUCAUCAUUCUUACGUCCUUACUGCUGAAUUUGUUUUUGUUUCAGCCCAAUUUCUAUUCUAUUUUUUUUUGUGAAAUCUUUUCUUAUUUUCACUAUGAUUUAAUAGUUUUGUUUAGUAUAUUCUUAUGCUAAUUGGAUAUCUUAUAAAUCUUUUACACAUAAUAACUAAUAAUCAAUGGUUUUACGUUUUCAUCAACUGUUUGCAUUGUUAUUUACAUUUUCCAAAAGUUUUCACAUAUUCAUGUAUUGUUUGGUAAUUUUUUCAGAUAUGUAAGGUUAAAACUCCAGAUUUGACCAUCAGUCCUGUUUAUUAGGCUGAAAUUGGUGCAGUUGACUAUAAUAAGUUACCAUUUUUAAGUCAGUAUAUAUGUCUUACUUAUGAUUUUUUUAUUUGUUAUUAAUUGUGACAUGUCCAAACUACGAAAAGAAUGACAAUUCAACCUACACGUCCAUGGCUCGGUCUUCUGAGGUUCCAUGUUUCGGGUCAAACUCCCAUGUUUGCCUCCUGAUAAAGUUGUUGGUGGAAUAGAAAUACAUAUCAUUGUCACCUUAUAUUAUAUUUAAUCUCCGCAUUUUUUUUUGUUAUGAAACAAUAAGUGAAUGAAAAAGAAGAUAAAAUGGUGAAAUGACUUUUCUUAUGAGAUUAUGGUCUACAGGUCGACCCGUUAUCAAGAUCACCAAGUCAAACGUAAGUACACGUUAAAGCGAUGAAUCUUUGUUUAACUUUUGUUAAAAAGAGCAUGUGAAUAGGGAGGAAUAUGAGUAUAAUGAUGAGUAAUAUGUUUUACAUUGCAGUAAAUAAAUUAAGGAAAAAAAGAGAAUAGUAAUUUUCUUAAAGAAUCAAAAUGUCUAUUUUGUUCUGUUUAGGUUUAGUUUAAUGGUAUAUGAUUUUAGUGAUAAAUGGUUAACUGAGAAAACGAAUAUUUGGAGAUAUUAAUUUUGAUUAUAUUUUUAAAUUUAGGGAUCUUUUUUCUUAGCAUCCAAAGAUUGUUGAAGGUUAUUUAUUUUUGUUAGUUGUUUAUAAAAUAAACAUAUUUUGUUGUUUCCCUCAUAACUUAAUUUAUUAGAAAUUAGUUAAUCGGUUAACGAAAUCGAACUUAUGUUAAAAAAAUAUUGAAGCAAUGUAUUCAUUUAACUUGCUAAAACACAAGCUGGCUUAACCAUCCAAAAAUAAGUAAAUUGUUUUUUAUCUUUUUUUAUGUCGUAGGUUUGGCUCAUUGGUAGAUUUUUCCAUGUGUUAGGAAAGUUUGAUAACUUUGAUAACUUAUGAAACUCUAUUUACUUUGAUAACUUUAUAAAAUAUAAUUACUUUUUUCUUUUGGGUUGGCUUGGUGACCUAAGGCGAAGAUGCUUGGCUAUGAUGACAUUCAAAGGCACACA
rnacentral:lncRNA from 1 species